CAUGUCUGGCAACACUACGUUGAAGUCGAGUCCAAACGAUGACCCGAGUCUGAUCGCUCUCCUCCAUUAAGCUGACGAGCCGUGUGGAGGACCAGGCGUCCGUUACGAUGUCGGGGAGGUGAUGUUUUCCUUUGAGUGUCUGGUCAGACACACUGGCGGCUGCUCGACCACUAAAUGGCACAAUCACAAAACCCUAUGACUCGUGGAAAACAACAGAUCAAUAGCUCUUCCACCGGUUCUCGCCCGCGAGAGAGAAAGACAGCGGCGAUGGAGGCAGAUUCGAGCUUGUUUGGCCAGCUGAAAGAAUGGAAAAGUUGAGAGAAAGAUGACAAGAUGAGUGGACGUCAGUCAAUGGUGUGUGUCUGUGCGGGCGCAGAAGGACAGGCUGACUCAUAGCAAGACUGUGAGGAGAUGGAAAUGAGUAAAAGCGAGAAAAGAAUACAGUCUAACAACCUGACGGCAGCGGAAGCAAACAGCAGAAAGACGGGCGACUCCCGCGCAUCUGACACGCGUUUGUUCCGUCGCCGUAGCUCCCAGCGACAGAGGCCAAUUACAUCGGCAGCCGGGUGACCUUUACCAUGCAGAUGAGCCUGGCUACUUAACACAGGAGCGGCUGUUAUCAUUAACAGGAUUCGCUAACGACAAAUACAACAAUAAAGAUCAUUUAAAGUGCUUGAAGACUGGAUUGUGCUUCCCAACAACGAGAUAAAUUUACCGUCAUUGUAAAGGUCAGCAUGCCAGAGAUGGAAAGGAACAGCAGCUUCUGUUGCCGUGGGGAUGGUCCAGACAUGUUAUCAGAGCCCCUAAGAAUCCAUUUGUCUGGGUCGACUCUAGACGCAGUAAUAUAAACAAGGUGAGGGAUUUUCCAUUCAGUCUUAAAAUUUGACAUCAUCGGUCUGGUCAGGUCACAGUACCUUGUUU